rnacentral:rRNA from 1 species
GGAAGCCUGAACCAGCCAUGUCGCGUGCAGGAUGACGGCCCUAUGGGUUGUAAACUGCUUUUUUACNGGAAUAAUUGUAUCCACGUGUGGGUAUUUGAAUGUACUGUAUGAAUAAGGAUCGGCUAACUCCGUGCCAGCAGCCGCGGUAAUACGGAGGAUUCGAGCGUUAUCCGNAUUUAUUGGGUUUAAAGGGUCCGUAGGCGGGCUUUUAANUCAGUGGUGAAAUCCCGGAGCUUAACUCCGGAACUGCCAUUGAUACUGAAGGUCUUGAAUUUAGUUGAGGUGGGCGGAAUACGUUAUGUAGCGGUGAAAUGCAUAGAUAUAACGUAGAACNCCGAUUGCGAAGGCAGCUCACUAANCUAAUAUUGACGCUGAUGGACGAAAGCGUGGGGAGCGAACAGGAUUAGAUNCCCCUGGUAGUCCACGCCGUAAACG